rnacentral:rRNA from 1 species
GACGAACGCUGGCGGCGUGCUUAACACAUGCAAGUCGAACGGAAAGGCCCUGCUUUUGUGGGGUGCUCGAGUGGCGAACGGGUGAGUAACACGUGAGUAACCUGCCCUUGACUUUGGGAUAACUUCAGGAAACUGGGGCUAAUGCCGGAUAGGAGCUCCUGCUGCAUGGUGGGGGUUGGAAAGUUUCGGCGGUUGGGGAUGGACUCGCGGCUUAUCAGCUUGUUGGUGGGGUAGUGGCUUACCAAGGCUUUGACGGGUAGCCGGCCUGAGAGGGUGACUGGCCACAUUGGGACUGAGAUACGGCCCAGACUCCUACGGGAGGCAGCAGUGGGGAAUAUUGCACAAUGGGCGGAAGCCUGAUGCAGCAACGCCGCGUGCGGGAUGACGGCCUUCGGGUUGUAAACCGCUUUCGCCUGUGACGAAGCGUGAGUGACGGUAAUGGGUAAAGAAGCACCGGCUAACUACGUG